GACUCAGAGUUUCUUCUCAAAUGUACACUGAUAAAUACUCAACUGAAGAUUCAACUGAAAUCCUCUAUGGGUCUCCAGACUCCCCCAUUCUGGAACUCUUCCCUGCAAAUUCCAGCUGCCUAAACUCCCUUCCAUCUCUCAGUUUCUCUAUAACUGAGGAACACCGUCAGGCUCCAGCUGGAUUUUCCUUCCUUGUGCACUGAUCUGGAAAGUCUUUCACAUCAGUAAGUGAGGGAAAUCAUAGAGUUCUCCUGGAUAGAAGAGGCCCUGGUUAGCAGCUUCAGAUGAUGGAUACAUAAAAAUGGGAGAGAGAAAACAUAUAAGAGUGACUAAUUGUUGAGUUUCCAGGGCUCAAACCAAUCUUGAAUUGGAAUUUCAAGACAUAAAAACCACUGCAGGAACCUGCUGGAGAAACGGCCUCUGGUAUCUCUAUCUGAAAUAUGAUUAUCUUAAGUUCGCAAAGCAUUGUGUCUGCAGUGUGAGUUUGAAAACAACAAUGUUAAGGCAACUUCGCAGCUUCUUAAUCAAGCCCUUCUCCAUCUCUCCGUGUGGUUUUUGGGGUGGUGGAGGUGGAGCCAAAAAAGAGAGGGCAGUUUCCCAGGGCUGAAGAUGCUACCAUGACUCAUAGGAUCUAUGCAAACCCUGUGAGUGAAUUCUGAGGAAGAAGAAUGAGUAAUAUUUUGAUUUUAUUACUGAUGGUAAUAAGAUAGUAUCAUCAGUGUGGUAUAUUCUGAUUACUGAAUUCUAUUCCCUAUUUUCUUCCUGUGGCCAAAUAAAAUUUGUGUGUGUAAGCUAUGAUAUUUAGUGUUGUUAUCUGAUGAGACAGGUUUAGUGGAAAAGUUCAUUUUAAAUAAACAUUAAAAUUGUUUCAGCCUCAGAUUUUUAAUCCAAAUCAUUCCUUUGACACCAGAAGAAUUUUCCUCAGAGUCAACUCCAAAGAUAAAGCUGCCUGUUUUCCUAUUUGCCCAGAAGUAAAGAGGUU
rnacentral:lncRNA from 1 species